AGCCUGAUGCAGCCAUGCCGCGUGUAUGAAGAAGGCCUUCGGGUUGUAAAGUACUUUCAGCAGUGAGGAAGGUGGAUGUGUUAAUAGCGCAUUCAUUUGACGUUAGCUGCAGAAGAAGCACCGGCUAACUCCGUGCCAGCAGCCGCGGUAAUACGGAGGGUGCGAGCGUUAAUCGGAAUUACUGGGCGUAAAGCGCAUGCAGGUGGUUUGUUAAGUCAGAUGUGAAAGCCCGGGGCUCAACCUCGGAAUUGCAUUUGAAACUGGCAGACUAGAGUACUGUAGAGGGGGGUAGAAUUUCAGGUGUAGCGGUGAAAUGCGUAGAGAUCUGAAGGAAUACCGGUGGCGAAGGCGGCCCCCUGGACAGAUACUGACACUCAGAUGCGAAAGCGUGGGGAGCAAACAGGAUAAGAUACCCUGGUAGUCCACGCCGUAAACGAUGUCUACUUGGAGGUUGUGGCCUUGAGCCGUGGCUUUCGGAGCUAACGCGUUAAGUAGACCGCCUGG
rnacentral:rRNA from 1 species